UCCAGCAGCCGCGGUAAUACGGAGGGGGCUAGCGUUAUUCGGAAUUAUUGGGCGUAAAGGGCGCGUAGGCGGCCCGGUAAGUCAAAGGUGAAAUCCCUCGGCUCAACUGAGGAACUGCCUUUGAAACUGUCGGGCUCGAGGCCGGGAGGGGGUAGCGGAAUUCCCAGUGUAGCGGUGAAAUGCGUAGAUAUUGGGAGGAACACCGGUGGCGAAGGCGGCUACCUGGACCGGUUCUGAAGGUGAUGCGCGAAAGCGUGGGUAGCAAACAGGAUUAAUAAAGGC
rnacentral:misc_RNA from 1 species